UUGGCCUCAAAUCAGGUAGGACUACCCGCUGAACUUAAGCAUAUCAAUAGCGGGAGGAA
rnacentral:rRNA from 1 species